rnacentral:rRNA from 1 species
AGAGUUUGAUCCUGGCUCAGGACGAACGCUGGCGGCGUGCCUAAUACAUGCAAGUAGAACGCUGAAGAGAGGAGCUUGCUCUUCUUGGAUGAGUUGCGAACGGGUGAGUAACGCGUAGGUAACCUGCCUUGUAGCGGGGGAUAACUAUUGGAAACGAUAGCUAAUACCGCAUAACAAUGGAUGACACAUGUCAUUUAUUUGAAAGGGGCAAUUGCUCCACUACAAGAUGGACCUGCGUUGUAUUAGCUAGUAGGUGAGGUAACGGCUCACCUAGGCGACGAUACAUAGCCGACCUGAGAGGGUGAUCGGCCACACUGGGACUGAGACACGGCCCAGACUCCUACGGGAGGCAGCAGUAGGGAAUCUUCGGCAAUGGGGGCAACCCUGACCGAGCAACGCCGCGUGAGUGAAGAAGGUUUUCGGAUCGUAAAGCUCUGUUGUAAGUCAAGAACGAGUGUGAGAGUGGAAAGUUCACACUGUGACGGUAGCUUACCAGAAAGGGACGGCUAACUACGUGCCAGCAGCCGCGGUAAUACGUAGGUCCCGAGCGUUGUCCGGAUUUAUUGGGCGUAAAGCGAGCGCAGGCGGUUUGAUAAGUCUGAAGUUAAAGGCUGUGGCUCAACCAUAGUUCGCUUUGGAAACUGUCAAACUUGAGUGCAGAAGGGGAGAGUGGAAUUCCAUGUGUAGCGGUGAAAUGCGUAGAUAUAUGGAGGAACACCGGUGGCGAAAGCGGCUCUCUGGUCUGUAACUGACGCUGAGGCUCGAAAGCGUGGGGAGCGAACAGGAUUAGAUACCCUGGUAGUCCACGCCGUAAACGAUGAGUGCUAGGUGUUGGAUCCUUUCCGGGAUUCAGUGCCGCAGCUAACGCAUUAAGCACUCCGCCUGGGGAGUACGACCGCAAGGUUGAAAC